AAGAAGUCAGGCCGGAUUAAGCCAUAGCACGGUAAGAGCUAUGCUGCCUGUGAGCCCCGUCUAAGGACGUAAAAUGAAGUCAGGCCGAAAGCCACGGUUUGAGCAAGCCGUGCUGCCUGUAGCUCCAUCGUGGGGAUGUAAAAACCUGGGAGGCUGCAAACCAUGGAAGCUGUACGCAUGGGGUAGCAGACUAGUGGUUAGAGGAGACCCCUCCCAAAACACAACGCAGCAGCGGGGCCCAACACCUGGGAAAGCUGUACCCUGGUGGUAAGGACUAGAGGUUAGAGGAGACCCCCCGCAUAACAAUAAAC
rnacentral:lncRNA from 1 species